UACGGGGGGGAGCAAGCGUUAUCCGGAAUUAUUGGGCGUAAAGAGCUCGUAGGCGGUUUGUCGCGUCUGCUGUGAAAACUGGAGGCUCAACCUCCAGCCUGCAGUGGGUACGGGCAAACUAGAGUGCGGUAGGGGAGAUUGGAAUUCCUGGUGUAGCGGUGGAAUGCGCAGAUAUCAGGAGGAACACCGAUGGCGAAGGCAGGUCUCUGGGCCGAUACUGACGCUGAGGAGCGAAAGCGUGGGGAGCGAACAGG
rnacentral:rRNA from 1 species